rnacentral:tRNA from 1 species
AGGGUAAUAGCUCAGUGGUAGAGCACAUGCUUAGCAUGUGUGCAGUCCUGGGUUCAAUCCCCAGUACCUCUA